UCCAAUAUAUUCUAUGAAUAAGCAAGAAAGCUCUAAUUUAAGUUAUUUUCAGCCUAUAAGAAUUACCAGUUACCAGUUCUAGUUGACCACUCUAAAGAGAUAGAUUUUUAAAAAUUCUUCAAGUUAGAGAAGGUAGGAACUCCAAAACUUGUAAACUAAGGGCACAAACGUCAAUAGGUGGAUUGAUUAAAACUGAAGAUGCAAAGGUGAGGUUCAGUGUACAUAGAUGAUUACAGGGUUGGAAGUUAGAGAAAAUGAUAAAUUUGAAGAUAACAUUUAAAAUUUGAGGUAUUUGACCUUGAUCAAUAUAGGGGCCAUGUGUCACACUAAUCAGCUGUGGAGGGUUGUACUAACCUGAUGAUUUCACUUAGCAGUCAAGAUAAUUGUACCAAUGAGCGACUGCAAAGUAUUUCCUUUUAGUUGCUGACUUUAACUAUGCAUCACACUCUUGUUACAUUUUAAGCAUAGAUGCAGUGUGAGAAAUUCCUCUCCAAGAUGCAGAGUGCUGGGAGUGGGGCUUACAGCUGGUUGUGCUUGCUGAUAUUAUGGCCUUCUUGCUCUUUCUCCCAAAGAUCAGAAUGCAUUAAACUGAAUCCCUGCAAAUGUAUAAUGAAGGAUGGAUCAGGAGUGAUCAAUCUAGCAGCCGUGGGAGAUGACAAUGGAUUUCUGGCGAGAGAUAAACCACUCACUACCAAAAAUUCUGAGUUUAAUAUUCUCUACUCAUUUAGUCCUUGCCAGCCAUUCAGUAAACCUUUCUUGUUUGCUUCUGACUGUUCGGAUGUGGCUGCAUGCCUGAUUAUCAGGAACCAAGCUCAAGGAAAAGGGAAUGUUGGUUUUCUUAACUAUGGAAGCCAUAAGCUGAAUGAAUUCAAUUAUGAUAACAUGUCAAAAAUACUCACCGUCACCUACUCAGCUUCACUCAGCAGUUUACUGCAGACAGUAGUUCGAUACAACUGUAGUUCCCAUCACUCAGUGAUUGCUUCUCAAGAUCCAAAGAGUCCUUAUGUGCUAUGGAUUUCUGUCGAUAGUCCUUGUGCUUGCCCCAACAGUUGCGAACCUCAGGAUGUGGGUCCACGAACCAUCAUCUUAGUGGUGUUCAGCAUAACUAUCACAGCCUACUUCUUGUUUGGGUUGUGUGCAUUCCAUCCAGUCAGAACUCCAAAUGGCAUUGAAAUCAUUCCCAAGGAAAAUAUCUGGUUAAGUUUGUGCUUUGCAUGUGUGGAGAAAAAAAGGAAGUGGACAAGACAGACAUCACAAAUGAAAUAAUAAAGCAGAUUAGCCUGAGCUAUGACCUCCUAUGGACAUCUACACAAGUAUUUGCCGCAGAACAUUCAGGUUUAAUUUCGCUGUUCAUAUUGAAUACACAUAUGCAAAAUAAUUUACAGAUUUAAAAAAAAUAUUUGCUUUCCAGCUUUGAAAGACAAACUAAAGGAUGCUCUGGGAACAUUUUGCCAGAGAUUGAAAGACAAAUAACUGAAGAUGGUAGAUCAAUUAUUCCCAGAAUUUCUGCUUGGAGGAUACAUCUUUGUUGGCUUCCAGAAAUCCCUUUAGAACUGACAUCUAUAAAUUCAUAACUCAAUAAAAUAAAUUCAUCCAAGGUUUUGUAAGAAUACGAGAUUAGAAUGACUGUUACUCAACCAGUAAUCCAAAACCUAAAUUACAAGUCCAGAGAUAAAUUCAUGUCAUAGAAGUUAGAGAAUUUUAAUCCGAGAAAUAAUUUUGCAAUCCUUUGAAAUUUUACUAGACAAUGAAGAGCAUUGGAAGGGAAGUCAGAUAGCUUUACCAAAGAGCCAGUGCAGGUAUGACAUAAUGAAUGGGUUUGUAUGUUGAAAUAUUCUAAAAUGCUUAUAGUUUCUGAAAUUUGUGAAAAUGCCUGAUUGUUUGUUGAACUGUACAACCAAGAAUGCUUUAGCUGCAAUAUACUGUAAGAAAUCUACUCGUGCUAAAUUUAUUAAUGACAGGCAAUCUUGAGCUGAAAACUAUCCUUCAGUCUCAAGAAAUCAGGAAAUCUGCUCAAUUUCCCAGUGUAGAGCAAACUGCUGGCUAAAAUUACAACAGGUGGCCUGCUGAUCACAUCCACACAAUCAUAACAAGAGACAAGGAAGUUGUAAAACUAGAAACAAAAGCAAAUAG